rnacentral:sRNA from 1 species
UGACCAGCUCGUAUAGUUCGUCGCAACGA